rnacentral:rRNA from 1 species
AGUGAACGCUGGCGGUAGGCCUAACACAUGCAAGUCGAACGGCAGCACAGUAAGAGCUUGCUCUUACGGGUGGCGAGUGGCGGACGGGUGAGGAAUACAUCGGAAUCUACUUUUUCGUGGGGGAUAACGUAGGGAAACUUACGCUAAUACCGCAUACGACCUACGGGUGAAAGCAGGGGAGCUUCGGACCUUUCGCGAUUGAAUGAGCCGAUGUCGGAUUAGCUAGUUGGCGGGGUAAAGGCCCACCAAGGCGACGAUCCGUAGCUGGUCUGAGAGGAUGAUCAGCCACACUGGAACUGAGACACGGUCCAGACUCCUACGGGAGGCAGCAGUGGGGAAUAUUGGACAAUGGGCGAAAGCCUGAUCCAGCCAUGCCGCGUGGGUGAAGAAGGCCUUCGGGUUGUAAGGCCCUUUUAUUGGGAAAGAAAAGCAGCGGGUUAAUACCCCGCUGUUCUGACGGUACCCAAAGAAUAAGCACCGGCUAACUUCGUG